AGUCAAAUUAAGCUUGUCACUCACCCAAAGCAUACAUUCGUUUAUGAAACCUAGAUCUGUCGGGUGGAAGAUCAGAUCUUGGUAAGGGAGGCAUCGAUCCAUCCAACUCAUGGCAAAAACUAAGGAAGGGGCCGAUCUGAAGCACAGCAUCGAAAACACAGAGCCUCUGGUUGUACCUAACACGGCUCCAGAUACCUCUGGUUCCCUGCCUGGCGAGAUGUUCGCUCUCGCUGAUGUCUGGCACUCAUUCGGAUGACUUUUAAUCCUUUGAACGCAAGGAACCAGAGCAAGAAACCAAAAAAAAAAUACACAUUACGAAAAUAAUCUGCACCCAAUACAAACAAGGCUGUCACGCAUUUUAAUUUAUGUUGCAGCAAAAUUGGCCAAAAGAAAAUGGACAUUAUUAAUAUUAUUAUCAUCAUCAUCAUCAUCAUCACCACCACCAUCACCAUCGUCAUCUGUUGGAGGUACUUUUACUGUUGAACUGGAAUGAAACAGGAAACCAUAAAAACAAGUGUCGAAAUGUCUAUUUACACUGAUGGCAGGGCUAGCGUUAGGGCAACUUUUUUUAAAAACGUGGGAGUUAUUCUGUUGUCCUUGAACACUUUAAAUGUCCCAUCCACUUAUUUCCAUCUGCUGCAUUCCUAGCGAGAAGGAAACAAAAAUCAUUUAAAUAAGUGUUUGGGGGUAAACAUGGUUUAUUGACAAGACUCUGUUAUCGUUAUUAACGGUAAAACUGCAACUGAGAGAUUGACACGAGUUCUAUAUGUAAACCAUAAUAGAAAUGUACAACUAAUAGCUGUUUUGUCAAUGAUUAUAAAAGUCUACAGGUUAGUUUUGCUAUUUGUCUCAACUAUGUAUUUAUAUUUACUUUAAUCAAUCAGUUAUUUUAAAAAAAACAGUUUUGCUAUAUAUGGCAAUCAAAAAAUUAUUUUACUUCGCAGAAUUUAUAGAAUUGCAGAAUUUAUAUAAUUGCAAUUGGGGGUUGCGAAUGAACUUGUGCAAACUCGUAGGUAAACAUGAACAGAAUUUAUCUUUUUACGAGAAUGGUGGAAAUAUCGCCACUGUUUCAGUCAACACUCUGUUUGGUCGAUUCGUUGUAAAACGCCAACCGGUUCUGAAGAAGGUAAACCGGAUUUUUUUUUUUGCUGUGGCAAAGUAAAGUCUCACUCCACACAAUAAAAGUUAACUGAAGCCAAA